rnacentral:rRNA from 1 species
CCGGCGACCGGCGCACGGGUGAGUAAUACGUAUGCAACCUGCCCUCUUCAGGGGGACAACCUUCCGAAAGGGAGGCUAAUCCCGCGUAUAUCGGUUUCGGGCAUCCGAGAUCGAGGAAAGAUUCAUCGGAAGAGGAUGGGCAUGCGGCGCAUUAGCUAGACGGCGGGGUAACGGCCCACCGUGGCGACGAUGCGUAGGGGUUCUGAGAGGAAGGUCCCCCACACUGGUACUGAGACACGGACCAGACUCCUACGGGAGGCAGCAG